rnacentral:tRNA from 1 species
GGUCUCGUAGUGUAGCGGUUAACACGCCUGCCUGUCACGCAGGAGAUGGCGGGUUCGAUUCCCGUCGAGACCGCCA